rnacentral:lncRNA from 1 species
UCCCCCACCUCAUCCACCUCUGACUGUGGAUAGGGGAAGAAGAGAUGUGGGGCUAAUAGUUUCCAAGGGUCACAGUUCCUCCCUCUCCCCUCCUUUUUUUCCACACAACUGUUUCCUGAGCCAGCUCCCAAAAGCUUCCCUAAGUCAGGACUUGCCUGCACUCUUCCACAGGACCUACCAAAGAGUGAACAUUUCAGGGCCCGGAGUCCCCUGCUAUCCAGCUAAUCAGGUUAUCCAAAAAAGUGGUGCUGGGGAAAGCAUAUGGAUUUGCAGAGAAGGAAGAACCAGAGGAUCUUGGGCAAGAUAAAGACAGCUGGUGAGACAUGGACUGGAUAGCUGUUUGCCGUUUUGCUGUUUGCCUCCUUGUCACGACCUCAGCGAGGGCAGAUGGAGCCAGUGGAGGGAGAGAGACAGACGGCAAUGCUUGGGUAGCCAGGGCUCCCUGCCGGCCCCACUCCUCCUG